rnacentral:lncRNA from 1 species
AUGAUCACUGCUGUCUGGAACUGGUCUGCUGUGGACGAACUGAAGAGCUUUCAACAUCCUCAAAGGCAUCUAAUUGUUCAGGACAUACUGAGUAUCUGCACUUACAGAAAUCAAGCCUCAAGUGGAACUCCCCUGAAAGCAAGGCACCAGGAAGCCAAGAUUAGUUUUCAGAAAUUACCAUCACAGAUGGCUUCCUGCAAUACAAAGAAGGCUCCUGGCAAGGCGGUUUGCUGGAUAACAUUCGAAUUGGAUGUGAUGGAAGUAUAACCUUACAGAAACACUCAUUCACCAGCAUUUAUUUCAUUGUGUUCAGUAGCUACUUUUGCACUGGCACUGCUUUCCUCAUUCUGCACUCACAUACUAAUUUCUCUUGCAUGAAUCUUGCCUAACAGUUGUCUGCAACUGGGUGGUCUCUGUGAGAAGUGGUAAU